rnacentral:misc_RNA from 1 species
GAAAUGCGAUAAGUAAUGUGAAUUGCAGAAUUCCGUGAAUCAUCGAAUCUUUGAACGCACAUUGCGCCCUCUGGUAUUCCGGGGGGCAUGCCUGUCCGAGCGUCAUUGCGAACCCCUCAAGCACGGCUUGUGUGAUGGGCCCUCCCGCGUCUUGGUCGUCAAGACGGGCCCGAAAUGCAGUGGCGGCUUCGCGGUUAUCCGAUCAGCCAGAGCGUAUGGGGACUCUCUCUCUGUCACACGCCCGCGGCGCGGACCGACGCCUGUCGACCUUUAUUCAUCUUUUCUCGGUUGACCUCGGAUCAGGUAGAGAUACCCGCUGAACAUAAGC